rnacentral:tRNA from 1 species
GCCUUCGUGGUGUAGUGGUGAGGACGAUAAGCGCGCAGUCGAAAGGUCCGUGGUUCGAGUCCCGGCGAGGGCA